rnacentral:rRNA from 1 species
CCUACGGGGGGCAGCAGUGAGGAAUAUUGGUCAAUGGACGAGAGUCUGAACCAGCCAAGUAGCGUGAAGGAUGACUGCCCUAUGGGUUGUAAACUUCUUUUAUAUGGGAAUAAAAUGUUCCACGUGUGGGAUUUUGUAUGUACCAUAUGAAUAAGGAUCGGCUAACUCCGUGCCAGCAGCCGCGGUAAUACGGAGGAUCCGAGCGUUAUCCGGAUUUAUUGGGUUUAAAGGGAGCGUAGGUGGAUUGUUAAGUCAGUUGUGAAAGUUUGCGGCUCAACCGUAAAAUUGCAGUUGAAACUGGCAGUCUUGAGUACAGUAGAGGUGGGCGGAAUUCGUGGUGUAGCGGUGAAAUGCUUAGAUAUCACGAAGAACUCCGAUUGCGAAGGCAGCUCACUGGACUGCAACUGACACUGAGGCUCGAAAGUGUGGGUAUCAAACAG